UAGGUGACCUGCGGAGGUCAUUA
rnacentral:rRNA from 1 species